rnacentral:pre_miRNA from 15 species
GCUUGGCUGGCUUGGUAGCUGAACUACGAAGCCCGGGUUUUGUGUGUGCCGCGCUGUUUUGAGUACGUAGCACCACAUGAUUCGGCUUGGUAGUACAGGCUCAUUCAACAAAUUAGGC